rnacentral:rRNA from 1 species
AUUGAACGCUGGCGGCAGGCCUAACACAUGCAAGUCGAGCGGAUGAAGGGAGCUUGCUCCUGGAUUCAGCGGCGGACGGGUGAGUAAUGCCUAGGAAUCUGCCUGGUAGUGGGGGAUAACGUCCGGAAACGGGCGCUAAUACCGCAUACGUCCUGAGGGAGAAAGUGGGGGAUCUUCGGACCUCACGCUAUCAGAUGAGCCUAGGUCGGAUUAGCUAGUUGGUGGGGUAAAGGCCUACCAAGGCGACGAUCCGUAACUGGUCUGAGAGGAUGAUCAGUCACACUGGAACUGAGAUACGGUCCAGACUCCUACGGGAGGCAGCAGUGGGGAAUAUUGGACACUGGGCGAAAGCCUGAUCAAGCCAUGGCGCGUGUGUGAAGAAGGUCUUCGGAUUGUAAAGCACUUUAAGUUGGGAGGAAGGGCAGUAAGUUAAUACCUUGCUGUUUUGACGUUACCAACAGAAUAAGCACCGGCUAACUUCGU